AAAAAAACUGAAAAGGUCAUAUGGGUAUGGAACAUCAUAAGGAUGAAUUUUAAUUUUGAGUGAAAGAAAGCCUCUCUGGAAUCAUUAGUGACUGCGGCUCCGGCGGCCUCUGCCUGUCUCCUCGCUGAUCUGUGUGUUAAUUAUACAUCUCAGCGUGAUGAGGACCCGGGCUGGGUGCAGCUGUAAUGAAGGUUGUUUGGUUUAAUAAGUUAAACCCUCUGAGUCCUGACCUGGUGAGAGACAGAUUAAAAUCGCAUUCAGUCGGCUGUAAACGGAAGGUCUUGAUAAGGGUAUGUCUCGUGUGGUGUGCUGUGAAAGGUUAUUAUCUUCGAGAGUAUUACCGGAUGUCCUAAAUAGCCUACAUCU